rnacentral:rRNA from 1 species
UACAGAGGGUGCAAGCGUUAAUCGGAAUUACUGGGCGUAAAGCGCGCGUAGGUGGUUUGUUAAGUUGGAUGUGAAAUCCCCGGGCUCAACCUGGGAACUGCAUUCAAAACUGACAAGCUAGAGUAUGGUAGAGGGUGGUGGAAUUUCCUGUGUAGCGGUGAAAUCGUAGAUAUAGGAAGGAACACCAGUGGCGAAGGCGACCACCUGGACUGAUACUGACACUGAGGUGCGAAAGCUGGGGAGCAA